CUGCUUUCAGUAAGAUGUUACAGGUUCUGCAGAUGCUACUGGAUACUGAAGCCAUCAGCCAGAGCAGGUUGCUCGAGGAAGCGGAAAUGAAUAAUAACCAUUAUGUUCCAGCGUCUUGGACAGACAAGAAAAUAUUUGCAAGUGUGGUGAAAAGAAUGGGACUUUCCAAGGUGUUUUCAGAUAGAAUGUUGAGAACAGAGAUGGGUUACAGCUCUACACUUAUAUGGAAGCAUAGACACCUGUGUUCAAGUACUUUCCAGGAGAACGUUCUAGAAUCUACAGCUGUCCAAUAGUUAUUAAAAUCAUAGCUGAGAAAUAAAGAUAUAACGCAUAAAGG